rnacentral:rRNA from 1 species
CCUACGGGAGGCAGCAGUGAGGAAUAUUGGUCAAUGGGCGGGAGCCUGAACCAGCCAAGUCGCGUGAGGGACGACGGUCCUAUGGAUUGUACACCUCUUUUGUCGGGGAACAAAGGCGCCCACGGGUGGGCGUAUGAGUGUACCCGAAGAAAAAGCAUCGGCUAACUCCGUGCCAGCAGCCGCGGUAAUACGGAGGAUGCGAGCGUUAUCCGGAUUUAUUGGGUUUAAAGGGUGCGUAGGCGGACGGUCAAGUCGGCGGUAAAAAUGCGGUGCUCAACGCCGUACAGCCGUUGGAACUGGCAGUCUUGAGUGGGCGGGAAGUAUGCGGAAUGCGUGGUGUAGCGGUGAAAUGCAUAGAUAUCACGCAGAACUCCGAUUGCGAAGGCAGCAUACCGGCGCCCUACUGACGCUGAGGCACGAAGGCGUGGGUAUCGAACAGGAUUAGAUACCCUAGUAGUC